UACGUAGGGUGCAAGCGUUAAUCGGAAUUACUGGGCGUAAAGCGUGCGCAGGCGGCUUUGCAAGACAGAUGUGAAAUCCCCGGGCUCAACCUGGGAACUGCAUUUGUGACUGCAUGGCUAGAGUACGGCAGAGGGGGAUGGAAUUCCGCGUGUAGCAGUGAAAUGCGUAGAUAUGCGGAGGAACACCGAUGGCGAGGGCAAUCCCCUGGGCCUGCACUGACGCUCAUGCACGAAAGCGUGGGGAGCAAACAGG
rnacentral:rRNA from 1 species